GUAGGGGACGAGCGUUGUCCGGAAUCAUUGGGCGUAAAGCGCGCGUAGGCGGCCUGGAAAGUCGGUUGUGAAAGCCCGGGGCUCAACCCCGGGACUGCAUCCGAUACUUCCAGGCUGGAGGUAGGUAGGGGAGAGGGAUGUGGAAUUCCAGGUGUAGCGGUGAAAUGCGUAGAUAUCUGGAGGAACACCGGUGGCGAAGGCGGCAUCCUGGACCAACACUGACGCUGAGGAGCGAAAGCCAGGGGAGCAAACGGGAUUAGAUACCCCGGUAGUCCUGGCCCUAAACGAUGAAUGCUUGGUGUGGCGGGUAUCGAUCCCUGCCGUGCCGAAGCUAACGCAUUAAGCAUUCCGCCUGGGGAGUACGGUCGCAAGGCUG
rnacentral:rRNA from 1 species